CCAUUGAUGGCAAAGGGCGUGGUUCAACCGUUAUAGCAUUGACUGAAUGAAAUUAACGAGAUUGUCUAACAAUUCUUAUAUGGAUUAAUUCUAUGGGAAAUGGUAUUGAUUAGAAUUAGUUAUUAUUAAUUAUUAUUAUUAUUAUUAAAAUUUUAAAAUCAUAUUGCUAUAUAUUGUAUUAGAACUGCAGACAGUUUCAUACAAAUUGGAAUAGCAAUGCAUGAAAAAUAGAGAAACCUGCACUGAGUUGAAAUAGCAUUCUGCGAGAACUACAUGUAGUUUUAUCUGACGACAGUGUUUCUGUAUAUUUUGUAUAAAAAAUAUUCAAAGAAAUGAUGUAUUAUGUAAAUAUAACAAUGAUGCAAUAAAAUAAU
rnacentral:misc_RNA from 1 species